GAUGAACAAGUGGCGGAUCAUCACCGGCACCCCAGCCAAGUGGGUUAACGAAUGAGCCAAGUGACGUAUCAUCACCGGCUAUCCAGCCAAUUGGCUUCACCAAUGAAACAAGAGGCGACUUGUCGCUGGUUUCAGCUGUCAAAGAAGGUGAGUUUACACAUGGCAUGAAGGGGC